rnacentral:rRNA from 1 species
GACGAACGCUGGCGGCGCGCUUAAUACAUGCAAGUCGAGCGAGAACCAGAGCUUCGGCUCUGGGGACAGCGGCGAACGGGUGAGUAACACGUGAGUAAUCUGCCCUCGGCACCGGGAUAGCCCGGGGAAACCCGGAUUAAUACCGGAUGGCCUCUCGAGCUUUCGGGCUCGUGAGAAAAGGUAGCUUCGGCCUCCGGCCGAGGAGGAGCUGGCGGCGGAUUAGCUUGUUGGGGGGGUAACGGCUCACCAAGGCGACGAUCCGUAGCUGGUCUGAGAGGACGAUCCGCCACACUGGGACUGAGACACGGCCCAGACUCCUACGGGAGGCAGCAGUAGGGAAUCUUGCGCAAUGGGCGAAAGCCUGACGCAGCGACGCCGCGUGCGGGAAGAAGGCCUUCGGGUUGUAAACCGCUUUCAGGAGGGACGAAGCCACUCGGGUUAAUAGCCCAGAGGGUGACGGUACCUCCAGAAGAAGCCCCGGCUAACUACGUGCCAGCCGCCGCAGUAACAC